UUGAUUGAUGGUGCUUGCACCUGAUUGAUUUUGGUCGCCAACGAGUGGCGGACGGGUGAGUAACACGUAGGUAACCUGCCCAGAAGCGGGGGACAACAUUUGGAAACAGAUGCUAAUACCGCAUAACAACGUUGUUCGCAUGAACAACGCUUAAAAGAUGGCUUCUCGCUAUCACUUCUGGAUGGACCUGCGGUGCAUUAGCUUGUUGGUGGGGUAACGGCCUACCAAGGCGAUGAUGCAUAGCCGAGUUGAGAGACUGAUCGGCCACAAUGGGACUGAGACACGGCCCAUACUCCUACGGGAGGCAGCAGUAGGGAAUCUUCCACAAUGGGCGCAAGCCUGAUGGAGCAACACCGCGUGAGUGAAGAAGGGUUUCGGCUCGUAAAGCUCUGUUGUUAAAGAAGAACACGUAUGAGAGUAACUGUUCAUACGUUGACGGUAUUUAACCAGAAAGUCACGGCUAACUACGUGCCAGCAGCCGCGGUAAUACGUAGGUGGCAAGCGUUAUCCGGAUUUAUUGGGCGUAAAGAGAGUGCAGGCGGUUUUCUAAGUCUGAUGUGAAAGCCUUCGGCUUAACCGGAGAAGUGCAUC
rnacentral:rRNA from 2 species